CCAAAUCUGGCUCUUUUGAUGGUUGCAUAUGGCUCGCAGAGCCCUCAUAACAUAAUGUACAUGGCAUUUCUGUCGAGUAGGCAACGCACAUGUGGCAGUGACAGUUUGUCCUAGUGAGGUAGCCGUAGUUUGCUGUCCAAUAUGGCAGUUGUGUGCGCAGGUGCAAAAGGUUUCAGCAAGAAUGGACAGGAAUUCGCCCUGGUGGAGAGAGAAGGUUCUGGUGUGUGUCUAAAUUAUAAUGACAAAGUUGCAAUGAUGAAACACUCAAAUAUAAAGCACCACUUUUACACGUGCCAUACUAGUUUGCAUAAAAAUAUCCUGCGGGGGCAACAGGAAGAAAGCAUGUCAAGAGCUACUGAUGGCAAAUCAAAUUGAGUUACGUUCACGAUUAACGGAUAGAAGUUUCAUCUAACGACGUCCUGUAUGACAAGUCGCAUUCAUGGCAGCACGUUGGAGCAGCUGGUUACAGCGUUGGUCUCACAGUUCUGAGGACCGGGGUUCAAAUCCCAGCCCUCCCCGUGUGGAGUUUGGAUGUUCUCCCCAUGCCUGCAUGGGUUUCCUUUGGGCACUCUGAUUGGCUGCUAAAAAGUUUAGGGUGUAUGCUGUCUCCUGUGGUAGCUGGGAUAGGCUUCAGCGCUCCUGUGACCCUUGUGAGGGGUGGCGCCCGCCUCUCAAAGGCUUCAGCUCACCUGUGACCUUGAGGACGACAAGUACUACACACAUUCAUAUGCUCAUCUCAGACGAGUGAAUAAAAAUAUGUAAUAUUG